AAAUCGGAGCGGACCCGCCGCCGAAACUUAACGGCCCCAAACAACAGAGGGCACUGAAUAACAAGCAGUAACCAAGAAAAUUAUUCAAAAUUAUACCGUUAACCCCACACUGGUGUACUCCAAAGGAAAGACCAAAAGGAAAAGAAGGAACUCGGCAAAUACCCCCAAGCCUCGCCUGUUUACCAAAAACAUCGCCUCUUGCUAAUUACACAUAAGAGGUCCCGCCUGCCCUGUGACCCCUGGUUCAACGGCCGCGGUAUUUUGACCGUGCAAAGGUAGCGCAAUCACUUGUCUCUUAAAUGAGGACCUGUAUGAAUGGCAUAACGAGGGCUUAACUGUCUCCUUUCCCCGGUCAAUGAAAUUGAUCUUCCCGUGCAGAAGCGGGGAUCCUAACAUAAGACGAGAAGACCCUAUGGAGCUUUAGACUCUAGAACAGAUCAUGUAAGCUACCUCCGUGAAAUAGGUAAUAACUAUUGAACCCCUGUUCCCCUGUCUUUGGUUGGGGCGACCACGGGGAAUAAAAAAACCCCCACGUGGACCAGGAGCACAUUACUCCUACAACCAUGAGCCACAGCUCUAAUGCACAAAACAUUUGACCAUUAGAUCCGGCAAAGCCGAUCAACGGACCAAGUUACCCUAGGGAUAACAGCGCAAUCCCCUUUAAGAGUCCAUAUCGACAAGGGGGUUUACGACCUCGAUGUUGGAUCAAGACAUCCUAAUGGUGCAGCCGCUAUUAAGGGUUCGUUUGUUCAACGAUUAAAGUCCUACGUGAUCUGAGUUCAGACCGG
rnacentral:rRNA from 1 species